CAGUCGCCGCGGUAAUACAGAGGGUGCGAGCGUUAAUCGGAUUUACUGGGCGUAAAGCGUGCGUAGGCGUCUUUUUAAGUCGGAUGUGAAAUCCCUGAGCUUAACUUAGGAAUUGCAUUCGAUACUGGGAAGCUAGAGUAUGGGAGAGGAUGGUAGAAUUCCAGGUGUAGCGGUGAAAUGCGUAGAGAUCUGGAGGAAUACCGAUGGCGAAGGCAGCCAUCUGGCCUAAUACUGACGCUGAGGUACGAAAGCAUGGGGAGCAAACAGGAUUAGAUACCCCAGUAGUCCCUGUCUCUUAUAC
rnacentral:rRNA from 1 species